UACGGAGGGUGCAAGCGUUAUCCGGAUUUACUGGGUUUAAAGGGUGUGUAGGCGGACUUUUAAGUCAGCGGUGAAAUCUCCGGGCUCAACCCGGAAACUGCCAUUGAUACUAUUGGUCUUGAAUGUUGUUGAGGUGGGCGGAACGGGUCAUGUAGCGGUGAAAUGCAUAGAUAUGCCAUAGAACACCAAUUGCGAAGGCAGCUGGCUAGACCUGGAUUGACGCUGAGGCACGAAAGCGUGGGGAGCGAACAGG
rnacentral:rRNA from 1 species